rnacentral:rRNA from 1 species
UGCCUAAUACAUGCAAGUCGAGCGAAUGGAUUAAGAGCUUGCUCUUAUGAAGUUAGCGGCGGACGGGUGAGUAACACGUGGGUAACCUGCCCAUAAGACUGGGAUAACUCCGGGAAACCGGGGCUAAUACCGGAUAACAUUUUGAACCGCAUGGUUCGAAAUUGAAAGGCGGCUUCGGCUGUCACUUAUGGAUGGACCCGCGUCGCAUUAGCUAGUUGGUGAGGUAACGGCUCACCAAGGCAACGAUGCGUACCCGACCUGAGAGGGUGAUCGGCCACACUGGGACUGAGACACGGCCCAGACUCCUACGGGAGGCAGCAGUAGGGAAUCUUCCGCAAUGGACGAAAGUCUGACGGAGCAACGCCGCGUGAGUGAUGAAGGCUUUCGGGUCGUAAAACUCUGUUGUUAGGGAAGAACAUGUGCUAGUUGAAUAAACUGGCACCUUGACGGUACCUAACCAGAAAGCCACGGCUAACUACGUGCCAGCAGCCGCGGUAAUACGUAGGUGGCAAGCGUUAUCCGGAAUUAUUGGGCGUAAAGCGCGCGCAGGUGGUUUCUUAAGUCUGAUGUGAAAGCCCACGGCUCACCCGUGGAGGGACAUUGGAAACUGGGAGACUUGAGUGCAGAUGAGGAAAGUAGACCUCCAUGUGUAGCGGAGAAAUGCGUACAGAUAUAGACGAACACCUUUGGUUGACGCGACUUUCGGGUAUGUAUCUGACGCUGGAUGCUGGAAAGCUUGAGAAG